rnacentral:rRNA from 1 species
CCCCUAGUAACUGCGAGUGAAGCGGGAAAAGCUCAAAUUUAAAAUCUGGUGGUCCUUGGCCAUCCGAGUUGUAAUCUAGAGAAGUGUUACCCGCGUUGGACCGUGUACAAGUCUCCUGGAAUGGAGCGUCAUAGAGGGUGAGAAUCCCGUCUUUGACACGGACUACCAAGGCUUUGUGGUGCGCUCUCAACGAGUCGAGUUGUUUGGGAAUGCAGCUCAAAAUGGGUGGUAAAUUCCAUCUAAAGCUAAAUACAGGCGAGAGACCGAUAGCGAACAAGUACCGUGAGGGAAAGAUGAAAAGAACUUUGGAAAGAGAGUUAAACAGUACGUGAAAUUGCUGAAAGGGAAACGCUGGAAGUCAGUCGCGUUGGCUAGGAAUCAACCUUGCUUUUUUGGCGGGGUUACUUUUUAAUUUACGGGCCAACAUCAAUUUUGACCAUUGCUGGAAAAAGGUCUUAAGGAAUGUGGCACCUUCGGGUGUGUUAUAGUCCUGGGUUGUAUACAGUGGUUGGGAUUGAGGAACGCAGCAGCCGCAAGGUUGGGUCUUCGACCACACUCGUGCUUCGGAUGUUGGCAUAAUGGCUUUCAUCGACCCGUC